CGCGAGCGUACGGAAAGGGGAGGUAGGGGAGAGCCCCGGAGGAUGUGAGUGGGGAGGGGGCAGUCGCCCCCCUUUCCCCCACCCUUCCCUUCUAGCUGGGCUGGGGUGGGGGGAGGGGCCGGGCUGAGGCGGUGGCGGCUCGCUCCGGUAGGGCAGGGCCGGCAAGGGCGGGACUGGCCUGCUGCGGGCGGACGAGGGAGACGCGGAGCUAACGGGUCCGGACGUCGGCGGCAGCGGCGGCGGCUGCGGCGGCUUUCUGCACGGGCGGAGGCGGCGGCAGGAUCGGCGAGCAUGGCCCGCGCGGCGCCCAGGGCUGACUGAGCACUUUGUAAUCACCUGUGCCUUUGUAUUUGCCACAAAACUGGAAGCUCCAUGAACACAGGACAGACCAGUCAAAUGCCACGCCUGGAGUCUGGCCUGCCAGAUAGCCAUAGAGAGUUGGAAGGAGCACACUGGAGCCAGGGCUGCUGGGGCCCCUGUGGAUGAGAGCCAGGAGUGCUGCGUGAGGCGUGGUCAUGCUACAGCAGCCCCGCACCUGAGAAGUGAGGGGGAAACUGAGGGGGGCUUGCUGCUAGCAGGAGCUAACAGCAAGACAGCAGGACAGCUGGAUGGCUUGGCGUCAGGGGAGCAGGGAUGGGAAAAGCAGCCUCUGAGCUCGGGCCGGCAAUACCAGGAAAGAGGCCUGGGCCCUGGCAGGGAGAUCGACACACGCUCGGCUGACCCAGACUGCAUUCGAAGCAGCACCCCGCAGAACAGCAGCUGCGCCCAGGCCCCAGAGGACCCCAUUGCUGGAGCAGGAGGUCUGUAACCCCUUACACAACUGCAGUUGGGGCUGUGACCAUUAGGAGAAAGGACCUACACCUCGUACAGGAAGUGGAAGGGCAGAACCUAACACAAGGAGGAGCUUGGUCUCUGCAGCAGAGUUUUCUGACACCCACAGAGCUUCCUGGGUUUCUUCUCUCAGGGUUGGGGCCUGGUUCCCCUCCCUUGGUGGAAGGGUGGACACCUCUUGCAUGGAAUCAAGGCUGCUUGAAGCCCACAUUUUCUCUGUUGUGAUUGAGGUUCAAGGGCUUCCCCGCUGCAGGGGACGGGGGGCUGCCUCGGCAUCUGCUCAUGAGCCACAAGGACCCCGAAUGCUCCAGACUGGACUGUUUCAAGCCGCCAAAAAGGGGCGCCCCCAGAGUUGGCAGCCAGCAACCCCAAGGGACUAGAAGGCUGGAAUGGACUGACCUUCCCCUCCUCAGGGCGGUGGGAGAGGCAGAGCAUCUGUGGCCCAGCUAGUGACGGAGAGACCCAAUGAAGCCAUAAGCAGGAGCCCAAGUGUCUCAGGGAGAGGGGAGCCACGCUUGCCUUGCGCUUUCUCCUCACACUGGAAGAGGGUGUGGCCUGGGACUCCUGCGGCUAGCUCCUCUUUGGCACACGCCCUUAUGCCCUUUGUACCCCGUGCUAGAACAAGCAGGCUACGCUGUGGCUGGCCCACUGGUGGACUGGGAAAGGAGUGGCCUCAGUGACACCCGGCCGCCCACCGGGCUGGUGGUCUGG
rnacentral:lncRNA from 1 species